GACAACAUCAUUAUAAUGAGCUAUUACAGAUCUGUCGACCACUGAGGUCCUGUAGCAUUGUGUGUGUGUGUGUGUGAGUGAGUCAGUGAGUGUGUGAGAGAGUGUGUAUAAUGGCGCUUUUCCACUGCAUGGAACAACUCGGCACGGUUCGCCACGGCUCGCUUACUUUCGGUUUGCUUUUCCACUGGAGUUUAGUUCCGCUUCAAAGUGGGUGGGAUUAUAGACUGUUAUAGUUGUGCCGCCUUUACAGCCGUGGAUCUGCUCGUCGGCUACCAACGAGUCACUUCGUGUACUAACCAUGAUUUCUUUUUUCAAGUUGCGUGCGACGGUCGUUUAAAGCAAGACGUUUAAAAAAAGUUGCGUGAACAAAUGACACUGCGGUGGCUGUUACUGACUAUUUAAAUCUAGCGGUUUUGUUGUCUCAUGUUUCAAAUCCAAUGAAACUGGUAGUGACGAUUCUCUCUGACCAAUCAGUGAUCUGCAGUGUUUACACAUCACAAUUAGUAUUGGUUUGGCUCGCUUUCUGUACCGAGCCGUCCCAUGCAGUGGAAAAGCGCCACAAAAGAGUGUCUAAGUGAGAGUGUGCACACGUUGACGAGUCUGACAGACAGUCCAGUAGAAAAGCAGAUUCACACACACAGAUGAGAUUUUAUUUUUUAAUACCGCAGCUAAGGAAAUGUACACGGUAGGGCUGGACAAUUAAUCGAAACUGAAAUUCGGAACCCCUAACUGACGUAAUUUUCCCAUGUUGGUUAUUUUUGUUUUUUUUUAAUCCUGUAAAUACUUUCCCCUUAAAAACAUACUACCGCGUGUGUAGUCACGUGACUCCUCCCCAUCCAGUCAGCGGGCAUGGAAGCAACACGGAGGCGAACUCAAAUGCUGAGUCAACAUACACAGACAGCGCGUGAGCGGCAAGCCCCAAAGUGAGACCACUUUUACUUGCGUCUUCACUAAACCUUGUCAACUGUAUGUGUUUUAAGGCUUCCCAGUUUGGAUAUUGAAGAGAUUUUAGACCAUCGGAUGUGUAUUAUUAUAUUGAGCUACUGUGCUGAUGCAUUGUGGGACACGAACACUCAUACAGACAGUAGCUGCACAUCACAUGAAGAUCGCGCGCACAGAGAGGAGCGCAGAAACUCGUUAUCAACGUUGUCCUGUGAUUUAUCACUAAAGUAGCUUAGAAACUCAAAAGAUAUAGCAUAUAUUUUUCUAUUUUUGAAGUAACUACUUACAACCCAAAUAGAGAGACAGUAUGACUAAUUCACAAACGAUAUCGCUCUCAUUAAUGCAUUCAAAUAAAUGUACUGGUACUGUGCUAAUUUCUGUAUCUGAUUUACAACGAGCAGAAAUCUGUAAGAAAUGUUACGACCCAUAGAUAAAAUAACUGCUGAAAGCGAGCUGUUAUGUCAGAGCACUCUUUCAUUAGGAAAAAAUAUCCCACCUUUAAUAGUCAAGCAUAUUUACAGUACAAACCUUGUCAGUGAACUAUGAGGGCAAAAAAAUUUAUCGUAAUCGAGGUAAAAUGUUCAAUUAAUCGAGAUUUUGAUUUUAGUUCAUAUCGUCCAGCCCUAGUACAC